UUAACGGAGAGUUUGAUCCUGGCUCAGGACGAACGCUGGCGGCGUGCUUAACACAUGCAAGUCGAACGGAGGAUGCGGGGAAGCUUGCUUUCCUGCAAACUUAGUGGCGGACGGGUGAGUAACGCGUGGAUAACCUGCCUGUAAGACUGGGAUAACACUGGGAAACCGGUGCUAAUACCGGAUAUACUGUAGAGUAGGCAUCUACUUUACAGGAAAAGAUUAACCUCUGCUUACAG
rnacentral:ncRNA from 1 species